CCUACGGGAGGCAGCAGUCGAGAAUCAUUCACAAUGGGGGAAACCCUGAUGGUGCGACGCCGCGUGGGGGAAUGAAGGUCUUCGGAUUGUAAACCCCUGUCAUGUGGGAGCAAAUUAAAAAGAUAGUACCACAAGAGGAAGAGACGGCUAACUCUGUGCCAGCAGUCGCGGUAAUACAGAGGUCUCAAGCGUUGUUCGGAAUCACUGGGCGUAAGGCGUGCGUAGGCUGUUUCGUAAGUCGUGUGUGAAAGGCGCGGGCUCAACCCGCGGACGGCACAUGAUACUGCGAGACUAGAGUAAUGGAGGGGGAACCGGAAUUCUCGGUGUAGCAGUGAAAUGCGUAGAUAUCGAGAGGAACACUCGUGGCGAAGGCGGGUUCCUGGACAUUAACUGACGCUGAGGCACGAAGGCCAGGGGAGCGAAAGGGAUUAGAUACCCUUGUAGUC
rnacentral:rRNA from 1 species